rnacentral:pre_miRNA from 3 species
UCUUAGGGAUGAGCAAAGAAAGUGCUUGAUUGAGAUGGAAUGUACUCCUGUUGAAGAUUCUGUGAA